rnacentral:antisense_RNA from 1 species
CUAUCUUCCUAAGAGUGUUCUCUGACGGGGCUGUUCCCUGCCCAGUGAAACAAAGGACCAAAGAUUUUCUCAAAAAUGUUUAAAAAUUUGACCCAUGUAACGCGGACACUCCACACUCACGGAAGUGGGCAGAAGGGGGAGGGGGAAAAAAAGGAAAGAAAAGCUUCUUCAGCCUCAGCGCGGAGCAGCUGCUGUUCCUUACCCAGACGGGACAGUCGUGGACCACCAGCUUGACAUUCCCAAACGCACUGGCCUGAUACUCGGUGAACACCGGACGCGCGACCGUGCUGGCCGCGUUCAGCAACAAGCUGCUCUCGUCCCCGGAGACCAGAGGGCUUCUCCCCAGGUUCAGCCAUUUAGGAAAGAUUGGUGACCUAUCUGCAUGAUGGCAUUAACUACAAGGAUCAUCCAAGAGCCACAGUCACAAAGCCAGUCUCUGAAUAUGGUUCAAAGAAAUCUUAUAACUCUCUGAACAGAAGCAACCGAAUAUAUGGACCCCAUGACCCAGCUGUAUUAGUCUGUUCUCAUGCUGCUAAUAAAGACAUACCUGAGACUGCAUAAUUUAUAAAGGAAAGA